rnacentral:lncRNA from 1 species
AUAUAUAUAUAUGUGUGUGAAUACUGAAUCAAUAUCAUAUAUAAACGGUUUUGUUUAAUUACAAUUCAAUGAGUUGAAGAAUAGAAACAAAAUCAGUUCAGAAUUCAAGGAUACCAAUGUAAAUUGAGUUUACCCAUCAAUAUUUUCUAGUUUUACCUGAUACUACAGUGUUAUGAUUUUUCUUCUUCUUUAGAUUAAGUUUCGUUGCGUCUUGGCAAAAAGUAAAAAUUAAGAAGAAAGUUUUGUUGGCUGGCUCGGAACCAUGUUUAUCUACAACUGGCCUGGCCUUGUCCCCCAAAAGAAGAAAAACUAGAUGUUAAUCAGUCAAAUUUACCAAAACAAAACACCACUUGAUUAAGUUACUACUAUUUAUAUAUUAAGCCACUAGUAUUACUAUAUACUAGAAAAGUAAUCUUUAUCCUUACCCUAAAGGCAUCAUAAAAUUUUAUUUUCGAUUAAAAAAUAUAUCAUAUUAUAUAGUCAUUUGCUAGCUAUUAGAGAAUAGAGAGAACACCUUCAGUAAAAUAUAUUCACAACUUCACAAGAGUUCUAUUUGACUCUCUUUUUUUUAAUUAUUUAUAACUAUUACAUAUAUAUCAACUUUACCUAGAACAUAUUUAGACGCAAUAUUCUUAAUUUAUUUAUAACUAUUACAUAUGUUUAUGGUACACAUCUAAUUGUAUUGCCUCAUCACUAUAUCUAUCAUAAUGUCAGAACCACCUCUUACCUGCUACAUAUACAUAUAUUAAAUGAACUACCUAACUACGUAAAGGAUAAUAUAAUCAGACUAGACUGCAUGCAGAUGCAGCUGUUAAUUUAAAUAAGAUUAAAAGACAAAGUGCACUCCGAACUUCACUUCUUAUUUAUCUGUGCACUCUAAACUUAAAAAAGUGUCUAAGUACAUCCCAAACUUCAUUAUACGAGAUAAAAUGCACAAGUUUGGGGUGCAAAAUAUUUUUGCAACAUAAAUUUUUUUUUUUUUUUAAAAACAGAAUUUUGUAAAAGUAGAUUUUUUUUUUUAAAACAGAAUUUUAAAAUUUUGUGAAAAUUGUAAAAUUUGUAAAAAAAUUCUGUAAAAUUUUUAAAAACAGAAUUUUUGUAAAAACAUAAAUUUUUUUAAACAGAAUUUUAAAUUUUUUUUAAAACAAAAUGUUAUUUUACAAAAAAAAAUUUAAACAGAAUUUUUAAAAAUAGAAUUAUUUUAAAAAACAGAAUUUUAUUUUACAUUUUCUUUUUAAACAGAAUUUUUAAAAAUAGAAUUUAAAACAGAAUUUUUAAACAAUUUUAUAACAGAUUUUUUUUAAAAAAAUAAGUACUCCAUUAUUUUACUUAUACUUAUUUUGAAAAUGGUGAUUAGUACUUAUUU